CUCCCGUGCAAACCAAAGGGCUGGUCUCACUCCCACCGUGCCCCCCUUAAUAGCUCCAAGUCUGUUUCCAGGUGUUGAGUAAGCUGGGCUUGAGAACUUGCCCCAGGUUACCCACCUCCCAGCUGCAAAAGAAAAGGGCUUAGUUCUUCUCCUGCCUGUGGAGUCUGCACACUGGAUUUGUGCCCUCCUCUGAGUUCUGGCCAGGAGGCUUCUCACCCAGUUCAAAUUGUUACCAAGUUAUCUGGAGAUUUCCUUCUCCCUGUGGUGUUCACCCCUGCCCUCUGAUUCCUCUGUCCACCCUCUCGAUGGAUCACUGUGAUGCCAUGCAGAAAUGGCCUGCCUGGGGAUCCGGUGAGCUUCCAGGGCCUUUCUGCUGCUUUCUCUACCUCUGUGUUUUGCUUGGUUCUCUGAAUUGACUCAGCUCCAGGUGAUGGAGAUGUCUUCAAAAUGUUGGACUUCUAGCAAGAGUUCUCUGCCUAAAACUGACUGUGGCUGCUUUGGUGCUCUCAGAAAGUGAGACAACAUUAAAUUUAGAUAUUCUGGGUAAAAUUGGGUCCUGGGAGUACACAGAAUGUCUACAUUCCGAGUUCAUCCGCUUUCUUCAGGAUGAGCCAAGAUCAACUGGAACAGUCCACGCAGCUUACAUGGUAUCGCGAGAAGCUUGCAGUUGCCAGGUGUUCUACUUUCUGCUCUCUCCCACAUGGCAAUUAGUGAAACUGUCUUUCAACUACUCUAAUAAAUCAAACUUUAUUCUCUGUCUCAUCUGGAA
rnacentral:lncRNA from 1 species